AGUGAACGCUGGCGGCGUGCUUAACACAUGCAAGUCGAACGAGAACGGAAUAUAGCUUGCUAUAUUUGUCAGCUAAGUGGCGCACGGGUGAGUAAUGUAUAGAUAACCUGCCCUUAAGAAAGGAAUAACAGUUGGAAACGACUGCUAAUGCCCUAUAUGCCUUUAAUACAUAAGUAUGCAAGGGAAACGCUUUAGUGCUUAAGGAUGGGUCUGUAUGGUAUCAGCUUGUUGGUGAGGUAACGGCUCACCAAGGCUAUGACGCCUAACUGGUUUGAGAGGAUGAUCAGUCACACUGGAACUGAGACACGGUCCAGACUCCUACGGGAGGCGGCAGUGGGGAAUGUUGCACAAUGGACGAAAGUCUGAUGCAGCAACGCCGCGUGGAGGAUGACACAUUUCGGUGCGUAAACUCCUUUUAUAUAGGAAGAUAAUGACGGUACUAUAUGAAUAAGCACCGGCUAACUCCGUGCCAGCCGCCGCGGUAA
rnacentral:rRNA from 1 species